AUUGAACGCUGGCGGCAUGCCUUACACAUGCAAGUCGAACGGCAGCACGGGUGCUUGCACCUGGUGGCGAGUGGCGAACGGGUGAGUAAUAUAUCGGAACGUACCUUAUUGUGGGGGAUACCGCAGCGAAAGCUGUGCUAAUACCGCAUAAUCCCUAAGAGCGAAAGCGGGGGACCGUAAGGCCCCGCGCAAUUAGGGCGGCCGAUACCUGAUUAGCUAGUUGGUGAGGUAAAGGCUCACCAAGGCAACGAUCAGUAGCUGGUCUGAGAGGACGAUCAGCCACACUGGGACUGAGACACGGCCCAGACUCCUACGGGAGGCAGCAGUGGGGAAUUUUGGACAAUGGGGGCAACCCUGAUCCAGCAAUGCCGCGUGAGUGAAGAAGGCCUUCGGGUUGUAAAGCUCUUUUGUCAGGGAAGAAACAGCAGCUCUAACACUGUAUGCGAAUGACGGUACCUGAAGAAUAAGCACCGGCUAACUACGUGCCAGCCGCCGCUGUAA
rnacentral:rRNA from 1 species